rnacentral:rRNA from 1 species
AGCAUAUCAAUAAGCGGAGGAAAAGAAACCAACAGGGAUUGCCUCAGUAACGGCGAGUGAAGCGGCAACAGCUCAAAUUUGAAAUCUGGCCCCCCGGGCCCGAGUUGUAAUUUGUAGAGGAUGCUUCGGGCGUGGUCCGGCCUAAGUCCCUUGGCACAGGGCGUCAUAGAGGGUGAGAACCCCGUAUGUGGCCGGGUGCCUAGGCCCGUGUGAAGCUCCCUCGACGAGUCGAGUUGUUUGGGAUUGCAGCUCAAAAUGGGUGGUAAAUUUCAUCUAAAGCUAAAUACCGGCCAGAGACCGAUAGCGCACAAGUAGAGUGAUCGAAAGAUGAAAAGCACUUUGGAAAGAGAGUUAAACAGUACGUGAAAUUGUUGAAAGGGAAGCGCUUGCGACCAGACUUGGGCGCGGCCGAUCACCCGGCGUUCUCGCCGGUGCACUCGGCCGCGUGCCAGGCCAGCAUCGGUUCCGGCGGCCAGACAAAGGCCGGGCGAACGUGGCUCCCCCCGGGGAGUGUUAUAGCGCCCGGCGCCAUGUGGCCUGCUGGGACCGAGGACCGCGCCUCUGGCUAGGAUGCUGGCGUAAUGGUCGCAAGCGACCCGUCUUGAAACACGGACCAAGGAGUGGAAUAAUCAUGCGAGUGUUUGGGUGCAAAACCCAUGCGCGAAAUGAAAGUGAACGGAGGUGAGAUCCCGCCAGGGCGCAUCAUCGACCGAUCCUGAUGUCUUCGGAUGGAUUUGAGUAAGAGCAUGGCUGUUCCGACCCGAAAGAUGGUGAACUAUGCGUGGAUAGGGUGAAGCCAGAGGAAACUCUGGUGGAGGCUCGCAGCGGUUCUGACGUGCAAAUCGAUCGUCAAAUCUGUGCAUAGGGGCGAAAGACUAAUCGAACCAUCUAGUAGCUGGUUCCUGCAGA